rnacentral:rRNA from 1 species
UACUACGAUUUAUAAUAGAAUUUUAUUUUUUAGUCAAAAAGCUAAAAUAUAUUUAAAAGACGAGAAGACCCUAUAAAUCUUUAUAUUUAGGUUAUUAUAAUUUUAUAGAUUUUUUUUGUUAUAAUAAUUGAUAAUAUUUUAUUGGGGUGAUAUUAAAAUUUAAUAAACUUUUAAUUGUUUAAAUCAUUAAUUUAUGAAUAAUUGAUCCGUUAUUAGCGAUUAAAAAAAUAAGUUACCUUAGGGAUAACAG